AGUGAAUAGAUACCCGGGUAGUCCCAGCCGUAAACGAUGCGCGUUAGGUGUAUCGGUGACCACGAGUCACCGAGGUGCCGAAAGAGAAAUCGUGAAACGUGCCGCCUGGGAAGUACGGUCGCAAGGCUGAAACUUAAAGGAAUUGGCGGGGGAGCACCACAACAGGUGGAGCCUGCGGUUUAAUCGGACUCAACGCCGGGAAACUCACCAGGUAAGACAGCUGAAUGAUAGUCGGGCUGAAGACUCUACUUGACUAGCUGAGAGGAGGUGCAUGGCCGUCGUCAGUUCGUACUGUGAAGCAUCCUGUUAAGUCAGGCAACGAGCGAGACCCACGCCAACAGUUGCUAGCUCGUCCCCCGGGAUGGAGAGGACACUGUUGGGACCGCCUCUGCUAAAGAGGAGGAAGGAAUAGGCAACGGUAGGUCAGCAUGCCCCGAAUUACCUGGGCUACACGCGGGCUACAAUGGGUGGGACAAUGGGUAUCGACACCGAAAGGUGAAGGCAAUCUCCUAAACCCAUCCUUAGUUCGGAUUGUGGGUUGCAACUC
rnacentral:rRNA from 1 species